UCUGCCUGGUAGUGGGGGAUAACUUUCCGAAAGGUAAGCUAAUACCGCGUACGCCCUACGGGGGAAACAGGGGAUCUUUGGACCUUGCGCUAUCAGAUGAGCCCAGGUCGGAUUAGCUAGUUGGUGAGGUAAUGGCUCACCAAGGCGACGAUCCGUAGCUGGUCUGAGAGGAUGAUCAGCCACACCGGGACUGAGACACGGCCCGGACUCCUACGGGAGGCAGCAGUGGGGAAUAUUGGACAAUGGGGGGAACCCUGAUCCAGCCAUGCCGCGUGUGUGAAGAAGGUCUUCGGAUUGUAAAGCACUUUAAGUUGGGAGGAAGGGCUCCGGGUUAAUACCCUGUGAGUUUUGACGUUACCAACAGAAUAAGCACCGGCUAACUUCGUGCCAGCAGCCGCGGUAAUACGAAGGGUGCGAGCGUUAAUCGGAAUUACUGGGCGUAAAGCGCGCGUAGGUGGUUCAAUAAGUUGGAAGUGAAAUCCCCGGGCUUAACCUGGGAAUUGCUUUCAAAACUAUUGGGCUAGAGUACAGUAGAGGGUAGUGGAAUUUCCUGUGUAGCGGUGAAAUGCGUAGAUAUAGGAAGGAACAUCAGUGGCGAAGGCGACUACCUG
rnacentral:rRNA from 1 species